GAUGAACGCUAGCGGCAGGCAUAAUACAUGCAAGUUGAACGGGAUUAGUUGGGUUUACUCGACUAUGAGAGUGGCGCACGGGUGCGUAACACGUAUGCAACCUGCCUUGAACUGGGGGAU
rnacentral:rRNA from 1 species